GACGAACGCUGGCGGCGUGCUUAACACAUGCCAGUCGAACGGAAAGGCCCUGCUUUUGUGGGGUGCUCGUGUGGCGAACGGGUGAGUAACACGUGAGUAACCUGCCCUUGACUUUGGGAUAACUUCAGGAAACUGGGGCUAAUACCGGAUAGGAGCUCCUGCUGCAUGGUGGGGGUUGGAAAGUUUCGGCGGUUUGGGAUGGACUCGCGGCUUAUCAGCUUGUUGGUGGGGUAGUGGCUUACCAAGGCUUUGACGGGUAGCCGGCCUGAGAGGGUGACCGGCCACAUUGGGACUGAGAUACGGCCCAGACUCCUACGGGAGGCAGCAGUGGGGAAUAUUGCACAAUGGGCGGAAGCCUGAUGCAGCAACGCCGCGUGCGGGAUGACGGCCUUCGGGUUGUAAACCGCUUUCGCCUGUGACGAAGCGUGAGUGACGGUAAUGGGUAAAGAAGCACCGGCUAACUACGUG
rnacentral:rRNA from 1 species